GAUGAACGCUGGCGGCGUGCUUAACACAUGCAAGUCGAACGAAGACAUCUGAGUGCUUGCACUUGGGAUGGACUGAGUGGCGGACGGGUGAGUAACGCGUGGGUAACCUGCCUUAUACAGGGGGAUAACAGUUGGAAACGACUGCUAAUACCGCAUAAGCGCACGGUAUCGCAUGAUACAGUGUGAAAAACUCCGGUGGUAUAAGAUGGACCCGCGUCUGAUUAGCUUGUUGGUGAGGUAACGGCCCACCAAGGCGACGAUCAGUAGCCGGCCUGAGAGGGUGAACGGCCACAUUGGGACUGAGACACGGCCCAAACUCCUACGGGAGGCAGCAGUGGGGAAUAUUGCACAAUGGGGGAAACCCUGAUGCAGCGACGCCGCGUGAGCGAAGAAGUAUUUCGGUAUGUAAAGCUCUAUCAGCAGGGAAGAAGAAAUGACGGUACCUGACUAAGAAGCACCGGCUAAAUACGUG
rnacentral:rRNA from 1 species